rnacentral:rRNA from 1 species
UACAGAGGGUGCAAGCGUUGUUCGGAUUCACUGGGUUUAAAGGGUGCGUAGGCGGAUUUGUAAGUCCGUGGUGAAAUCUCCGAGCUUAACUCGGAAACUGCCAUGGAUACUAUAAGUCUUGAAUGUUGUGGAGGUUUGCGGAAUAUGUCAUGUAGCGGUGAAAUGCUUAGAUAUGACAUAGAACACCGAUUGCGAAGGCAGCAGGCUACACAAAUAUUGACGCUGAGGCACGAAAGCGUGGGGAUCAAACAGG